CAGCUAUUUUGGGGGUCCUGCGUGAACUAUGACCUGAAGCGGGAGAAACUUAGAAGUGGGUGGCAUGACAGCGUUCGAGAGCCUUCAUGCAAACAGAAGCAGAAACAUGGUUCCAAUUCCACACAUCCGGUAAUCUUUGGUAUCGGGACAGUGGAAUGCAUAGUUGCUGCGAUAAGACGGAGCUGGUUAAGCGUGGCGUCGCUCAAGCCUCCAAGACGACGAUAGCUCAUUGCCGCUGGAGGAGGAUGAGGAAGAAGAUGAGAUGAGUUUUAUUCCUGGGUUGUUCAGGACGUGCGGUGUAGAGAAUGGAGAAAAGAAGGUGAAAAAGCAUUCCAGGAAAAAGGAAGGACGGCUUUUGUAAGAAUGUGGCGUCUGCGCCUCCCUCUUUUUGGCGUGCUGUCUGUGAGCAGCUGUCUCCCAACACUUCUUUGGAUUCUGCUAGGUCAGUCACCAUCCAGGAACUCACCAGCUGAUUGGCUGUCGUCCUCCAUACUAUUUCCUGACCCACCAAUUCCGUCUUUAAAGGUCUGGGAGUCCAUUCUCUUCUCUCUGUGUCAAUCUGGCCAACAUGGAGCCUUUCUGUCCUCUAUCUUCCCACCACUGCUGAGCCAUUCCCGUUCUCCUGCUUGGGAGAGGAACCCCCCGGGGUGGGCCCGCUGUAUGGAGAGGAGCUACUGCUCGUGGAGGCGGGUCUCUGGAGCAAGGACAGUGGCAAGGCGGCGGUGUCGGCAGGCGCGGCCGAGAGGUCGCCGUCUCGUUCCGAGGGGCGCAGAGUGGCAGAAGGCGGCAACGGGAACGCCAGCGGGACUCCGGUCAUGUAGAAUAGCCUGCCGAUGCGUCGGGCCACCUAAUUGGAUGAAAGGUGUAAACCUGACUCAGCAAAUUUGAUGUUGGAAACCUGCUUGGUACAAUUUCAUUUCAACACAGAGAGAGAGAGAGCUUUGUUUUGGGGGCAGGCUAUUUUUAGGGAAUCUAAGCUACACUGUUUUAGGCCUACUGUCAUACACACACUCACACACACACACAGGUCUGCAGGUUGUGUACCUGCGAGCGAAUCUUGAGGGCAGGGCCCAGCUUUAGUCCCAUGGUGGCUAGCAGGUGCUCGUCAGUGAGAAGAGGUAAAGUCUCUCCAUCAAUAGACUGAUCCUGGAACACCUGGCAGAGACACAACCACUUCAGCCACAGUCACACAUGCACACACACACACACGCAGACGCACACAAAACCUACACGUGAACUCAGUCACACAAACAAAAAGAGGUCCUUUUUUCCUAGUUCUUCUGUUUUGAUAAAUCCAGUUCAUAAUGUCCCUGUUAUUAUUUUACCACUGGGAAUAGUAAAUAAUCCCAACUCAAAGCGUUCCAAUGAUGAUUUAUUAUUAGAGGUGCAUUCAAGUUUAGCAAUAUGAAAAGUAAGUAGAUCCCAGUCUUGUUGUACAAUUACUUGAUGGUAUAACGUUUUACUUUUAGAUAUAGUAUACUUUAGCCACUUGCACAGUUCUGGAACAUAGUGUUAUGUGAGGUGCUCCGUCCUGUUUUCUCAUUGUGUUUUUAUUAAAGUUGUAAUAAUUAAGUAAUAACCCACAAGUAUAUGACAUCAUACAAAGUUGAAAAAACUUAAAUCUGAUUCUGAUUUAUAAGCAAUAUUAAUUGAACUAGAAUAAUUACAUUAGACAUAUUCAGAUGCUUGUAUGUCUGUUAAAUCUAAUCAUAUUCACUUGUGUACCAUAUAUAUAUAUAUUUUUUGGUUGUUGUCUUUUUAAUGCAACACAUGUAUCUUAUUUACAAGUUAAAUUCCGUUACAAUUGAAAUUGACAUUUAUUGAAACAUCUUCCAAGUAUCUUGAAAUUAGUCCCAAACUGUAUUAACAUUAUUAUUACUACAUAGCCAUUUUGUGUGUGUGUAUAUAUAUAUAUACAUACAAUCAAGGAGAAAUUGGAAUGAAAAAUAAUAUUUCUCAGCUGGUUGGAUAGGAAAAGUAACGUGGAUCGAAUUAUAGCGUAGCUUGUGGCAUACAUUUGGACUUAUGUGAAAGUUACCACAUAUGAUUCUUUGUACUUUAAAAUAAACUGAACAUACUAAAUUUUCGCACUGAUUUAACUUGUUUUUACACCGUUCUUUACAAGUUAAAUUAUAUUCAUACCUAUCAAUAUUAUAGUACAGUAGUAUGUAUUCUUUAAUAUUGAACUGGGGUGUAAAACACACAACAAAGGAAACGCGUGUACACUUACACACACUUGACACAUACACACACAUCCGGAAUGAUUCAAUGACCACACACACACACACACACAUUUAUCAAACACACUUUCUAAUGCAUCUUCCACACUGAUCCCUGCAGCAGGAAGCUUCUGUACCAUAAUGACCAUAUAAGUUAUCUCACCUGUGCGUAUUCAGCACAUCCGGCCAGGCUGCUUAUGAAGCCGCACACGUCCUCCACGCUCCACUUGCUGAUGUCCUCCACAGGGUUUGCUGAGGCCGCGUCCUCUCCGUCCAUGAAAAGACCUCCCAUAGAGCCUGAGAGCAGCAGCGGGUUGCAAAAACGGUAAAUCAAUACAAAACACAGAGGCUGUAGGUCGACAAUUGUACACAAUAGUAAUAGUCGCAUUGAGAACAGAUGCUUGUUAAGAGUAAAAAAUAAAAGAUACAUUUGGGAUUUGAGUCUAAUGUUGUGUGCAUGGACUGUUUUUAAUAUUGUGACAAUGUCUCUUAGUUUUAUGCAAAAUGUAUUUUUGAAAUUAUGUUAAAACACUAAUAUGCAUCCUUACAGCCUGUUUAUGAGCAGCAAAAAUCAUAAAUGAAAUCGCUCCUUCCUAAUGGGCAUGAACCGGCAUCUAGCUAGAUGAGCCCGUCCUGUGUAGACUUAGACAAACUUUAUUGAUUCACAAGGGAAAUUUUUCAAAAAUAUACCCCCAAAAUCAGACUUCACUGCACAUUUUAGAAUAAAGCGAAGGAUGUUGGUGCUGUAAAUUUGAUCAUGUUGUUUUUCUUCAGUCAGUAGAAUAACCCAGCACAGUGGUUUUCAAACUUUUUCCACCAAGUACCACCACAAAUGACCAACAUUAAAACAGUAGCGUAAUAGGCGUAAAUAUUCAUUAAUAAAAAGGCAGAGGUUUUUUUUUUAAAUAAGUGUAUUUAAUAUUUUUGGCAACUGUAACAUUACACAAAGUUUGAACAGUAACACUGUUCGAAUAUUUAAUCAAGUGAUUCUUUGAUGUACCACCAGGUGGAGCCCGCGUACCACUAUUGGUACACGUACCACAGUUUAAUAAUCCCUGACCAAGCAAGAUGUUACAAUGUGAUUGUAAUGUUAGCACUGUAGCUUGGCUAUGCAAAUGUUGUUAAAGUUUUUGUCCUCCUGUUCCACUCCUAAUGUUACGUUGUUUGUGACAUAUGACAUUUAUUACAUUGGACAAAUGCAGAGUUACAGAGUAUGUGUAAAAAGGAGUUUGUUUUUGUUCAUUAAGUACAGGUUUCUUCAAAUACACAAUAUAUUUUACAAAGCUUGGGUCUUGGGUAGGAAUGACAUUUCUCAUGAGGGUCUUGAGACCCUGACCACCGCGUCCUAUCUGCCAGCGUGGCUAUGCUGUUGGCGUGCUGUAUUUAGGGUCACAUUUGGGUCAGAAGCAGGGCCUCUAACAAAGUGAUGCUAAUGGGUUUCACAUGUUGCCUGUGCGUUUGUCUGAGAGAGAAAGUGUGUGUGUGUGUUUGUGUGUGUGUCAGUCAGAGUGAGAGAGACAGCCGCUCACCCAUGUGGAAGUAAGGGUUGAUGUAGGGGAAUCCAAAGGGCAACGAUUGUCCCUGAAGAGCAGGCAGAGGUGGCAUGAAUCCAGGUGGAAGCUGGAAUUUGACAUCCGACUUUCCCAGUCCAGACGAGAAGAGGUGGUGACUGGGCGAGUCGGUGCCGGCAGAGCUACAAGGUGCACUCAGCCGGCCUGAGUGGUCUCGGGUCUCCUUGGCGCCGUCAAACUCUCCCUUGCCGUUUCUCUCCUUGCUUCCCCCGUCUCUCCUCCUGUGUCUGUGUUUCCUCCUGGACUUGGCACCAGCGCUCUCCUGCCUCUCGUCACACGUUUCCGUUUCACUGUCCGACUCCCUGGCGUCGUCCUCAUCUUCCCUGUCUCCUUCGCUUCCUCUGUCCUCCCGCCUUCGUUUGUGAUCCACAGCGCGGAGCUCGGUGUGAGGGCCCCGACGGGGGGCUUUCCUGGAUUCAGUGUCUGAGCUGGCCGUGGAGCUCUGCGCUUGGGUGUCUUUGUGGGUGGACGAUGUCCUUGCUUGUUGCUGAUGCUGGUUGAGGCUCAGGAGGGGUGCUGCCGCCCCAUGGCGGAGCACUAGCAUGGCGUUAGAGCGACGGGCCAGUUCCUCUCGGAGCGGAUGGCCCUCGGGGAUGUCGUGAAGGCUCCUCAGGGCCGGGUGGUCCGCUGGUAGCCCGGCGGAUAGAGCGAUCAGCGGGUCAGAGGUCAGCAAUUGUUGCUGCUGUCGCUGGUGGAGACUUUCCAACUCUUUCUGUCUCAGUAGCUCGGCCGACAUCUCAAGUCUGAGGCACACAAACACACUCUGUCGUGUCAACUUCACACGUUCUACAACACAUAACACAAACACAUGAACGUUCUAAACGUUAACACACACCUGGCCAGAUUCUGCUUCCUCAACAUUUCUUGUUGCCGCACAAAGAUUUCAGCUUGAGCUGGUUGGAGGAAACCAUAACCUGGUAUAGAAAAUACAAAAAGCUUUAAAAACAGAAAUGGGUCAUACUUAUUUUUUAACUGUGGUAAAUGACAUAAGCAUAAUAAUACAGUGGUAGCUCGGCUCACGAGCAGGUGCUUUAAGUUUGAAAAUUUGAGUUAUGAGCCUCUAUUCUGCUUGUUGGCGUAGCAAAUUGUUAAAAUGAACCCCGUAAGAUCCGCCCCAAAAUCUGGUUUUACUUGCUAGCAUCAGCUUAUAGCUAGAGAUGGACUUAACUUUGUUUUUCAACCAUGGGAAUGAAGAAAGUGAGUGUAAAAAGAGGAGAAGGAGCGGAUGAUAUUCAUUGAAUUAAAGACAUAAACCACCAAAAACAUGACCAACAGUGCAGCCAACAUAGCGAGUGUAGCACUGCUAGUCUGCAGCAGGAGGAGUCAUAAGGCCAGCUAUGGGAGUAAAAAUAAAAUCUAUUCAGCUGAUAUUUAUCCAAGAAAAUAUGGAAAAGCUGCAGAUGGUGAGUUUUAACGGAGAAACAGCUUGAAGCAGAUACCGUAGAAAUCUACUUUCCAAGGUAAAUGCUGUACAUUAUUAUUACAUCUUAAAACUACUGUAGAAGUGCAUUGUACAAGUACAUUCUAUUGGUUUUUUUUCUCGUACAAUAUUUCCUAUCUGUUUUUUCUUUUUUAAAAGCAUGUUACAAACAGAUUAAAUUGAUUUGAAUUCCUUUCCUUGACAUUGAUUUGAAAUACAAGCGUUUCGAGUUACAAGCUUGGUCAUUGAACCAAAUAAGUUGAAGUACUACUGUAUACACCGACAGGACCACAAUAUUAGAUACACGCUGUCACAAAAAAACUUGAGUAGGAUCUGAUAAUCAUUUUGGAAUAAUCACAAAUAAGGAAGCAACAGCACACCAACGUUUGUAUCACAACGAUAUAUCCUACUCAAAAGUCCCUCAAAGUCACACGUGGUUAGUGUCAGUUUGAAGUAAAUAUGCUUUACUGACGACCGCCGCUACCACACUUCAUUAGCCGUCUUCAGAGUGAUCCAGCAAUCCGCAGGUUAAUAUCAACCCACUCAAAAAAGUGAAACAUUUAAGUAGUAUAAUAAGCAAGAUAGCAUCAACAGACAAGUCACUAUAGUUGCGUGGCAUCAAAACACACCACACUUAAAUGCACACCCACAUAACAUGCUAAUUGAUUGUAUUGAUUUGUAUUAUACAUUUCAUAUAAUAUAUCAUGUAAAAGGUCUAUGCAUUGCACAUGAAUAUCAUACACAAUUAUUAUUUCCAGCUAAGUGUAAUUGUAAUGAAUAGAAACUGAUGUAUCUGUGUGGUCUUGCAUUGCACCUUGCACUGUAAAAUAGUUGACUUGUUUAAGAGUUGAUAAAAGACUUCCCUGCUGUAAGAUGUUACAUGAUGUUGGUGGUGUGUAACCUCUUGUGCUAAUAAAAAUUCUAAUUAAAAAACAUCUUUAUUUACACCAAUUACAUAUUGUAUCGAUAAGAGUAUCGGUCUCACCAAUAAACAUAUAUAUUGGUAUCGGUAUCAAUAAAAUCCGAACGAUAUACAUCCCUACUAUAAACAUUGCUGUACAGCUAGAAAAUGCUUUAUGAUGGCGAGAUUGUGACAUUCAUCCUGCAAUGCAUUGUGGUCAACCUAAUCUCAGGUGCAUCAAAUUCCUGUAAACAAAUGUAUUUAAUCUGAUCAUAAUUGGGAUUAGAAUGUUACUGUGUACAUGGACGCUGAAAAAAUUAUUCGAUUAUGAAGUACGUUAUCAAGUAUCACACUUUAAAUUGGAAUACAUUAUUUUGACAUGCGUAAACGGAAGUAGAAGAAGAAAAAGCAGUGACUUCCGCUGUAAACAAACACGAAUCUGUGCAUUUCUGCGUGUAUGAUGUUGACAUGUUAUUUAUUUAUAAUUUUUUCCUUCUGUUCGCUACUUUUGUUUUACCUCUCUUUUUGAAACAAAGCUGUUCUGUGCACUCCAUGUUGUGAUAUGUACGGGUUGUCGUAGUAUCUGU